GUGGGGAAUAUUGGACAAUGGGCGAAAGCCUGAUCCAGCCAUGCCGCGUGUGUGAAGAAGGUCUUCGGAUUGUAAAGCACUUUAAGUUGGGAGGAAGGGCAGUAAGUUAAUACCUUGCUGUUUUGACGUUACCGACAGAAUAAGCACCGGCUAACUUCGUGCCAGCAGCCGCGGUAAUACGAAGGGUGCAAGCGUUAAUCGGAAUUACUGGGCGUAAAGCGCGCGUCGGUGGUUUUGUAAGUUGGAGGUGAAAUCCCCGGGCUCAACCUGUGAACUGCCUCCAAAACUACUGAGCUAGAGUACGGUAGAGGGUAGUGGAAUUUCCUGUGUAGCGGUGAAAUGCGUAGAUAUAGGAAGGAACACCAGUGGCGAAGGCGACUACCUGGACUGAUACUGACACUGAGGUGCGAAAGCGUGGGGAGCAAACAGGAUUAGAUACCCCGGUAGUCC
rnacentral:rRNA from 1 species